rnacentral:rRNA from 1 species
UACGAAGGGGGCUAGCGUUGUCCGGAUUUAUUGGGCGUAAAGAGCGUGUAGGCGGCCAAGUAGGUCCGGUGUGAAAACUCGAGGCUUAACCUCGAGAUGUCAUCGGAAACCAUUUGGCUAGAGUCCGGAAGAGGUAAGUGGAACUGCGAGUGUAGAGGUGAAAUUCGUAGAUAUUCGCAAAGAACACCAGUGGCGAAGGCGGCUUACUGGUCCGGUUCUGACGCUGAGGCGCGAAAGCGUGGGAGCAAACAGG